AUUGAACGCUGGCGGCAUGCUUUACACAUGCAUGUCGAACGGCAGCACGGGGGCAACCCUGGUGGCGAGUGGCGAACGGGUGAGUAAUAUAUCGGAACGUGCCCUAGAGUGGGGGACAACCAGUCGAAAGAUUGGCUAAUACCGCAUACGAUCUCUGGAUGAAAGUGGGGGACCGCAAGGACUCACGCUCCUGGAGCGGCCGAUAUCUGAUUAGCUAGUUGGUGGGGUAAAGGCCUACCAAGGCGACGAUCAGUAGCUGGUCUGAGAGGACGAUCAGCCACACUGGGACUGAGACACGGCCCAGACUCCUACGGGAGGCAGCAGUGGGGAAUUUUGGACAAUGGGGGCAACCCUGAUCCAGCAAUGCCGCGUGAGUGAAGAAGGCCUUCGGGUUGUAAAGCUCUUUUGUCAGGGAAGAAACGGUGGGGGUUAAUACCCUCUGCUAAUGACGGUACCUGAAGAAUAAGCACCGGCUAACUACGUGCCAGCAGCCGCCGUAA
rnacentral:rRNA from 1 species